rnacentral:sRNA from 1 species
CAUAGGGCUACGCCCUAUGUUGUAAUAUCUCGCCCUUUCAGGGCU